AUGGCAAUAUCAUGUUGAAAUGCUGGUUCUCAUAUGAUCACUGAAAUUAAGCAAUAUCAAGCCUAGUCAGUACCUAGAUGGGUGACCACUUGUGAAUAUCAGAUGAUGUA